rnacentral:lncRNA from 1 species
UAGCCAUUCAAAACUCUGAGAUGUAUGUUGGCUGUAGCAUAUUCAUUAUAGGAACCAGAUCGCACCAAGAUGGGAUCUAUCAACCUCGGUAGAUGAGAGGAGUAAUCCUAUGAUGAUUGGAAGAUCGAGUCCUUAAGCCCAUGGCCAUGGCAGAGUGAAAUAAUGAAAAAAAGUUUUCCAUUGAGGUUUCACAUCGGACUCCGAUCGAUCGAUUGAUUCAUAUGACUGAUGUUGGGUUUGACGA